AGGGGCAGCGAGGGAGUGGCAACACUUCUGUCGGCGACCGGCGCACGGGUGAGUAACGCGUAUGCAACCUGCCCGAUACCGGGGUAUAGCCCAUGGAAACGUGGAUUAACACCCCAUAGUACUUUUAUCCUGCAUGGGAUGUGAGUUAAAUGUUCAAGGUAUCGGAUGGGCAUGCGUCCUAUUAGUUAGUUGGCGGGGUAACAGCCCACCAAGACGAUGAUAGGUAGGGGUUCUGAGAGGAAGGUCCCCACAAUGGAACUGAGACACGGUCCAUACUCC
rnacentral:rRNA from 1 species